CUGGAAUUAAUACCGCAAACGCCCUACGGGGGAAAGAUUUAUCGGGGAAGGAUUGGCCCGCGUUGGAUUAGCUAGUUGGUGGGGUAAAGGCCUACCAAGGCGACGAUCCAUAGCUGGUCUGAGAGGAUGAUCAGCCACAUUGGGACUGAGACACGGCCCAAACUCCUACGGGAGGCAGCAGUGGGGAAUAUUGGACAAUGGGCGCAAGCCUGAUCCAGCCAUGCCGCGUGAGUGAUGAAGGCCUUAGGGUUGUAAAGCUCUUUCACCGAUGAAGAUAAUGACGGUAGUCGGAGAAGAAGCCCCGGCUAACUUCGUGCCAGCAGCCGCGGUAAUACGAAGGGGGCUAGCGUUGUUCGGAAUUACUGGGCGUAAAGCGCACGUAGGCGGAUAUUUAAGUCAGGGGUGAAAUCCCGCAGCUCAACU
rnacentral:rRNA from 1 species